AUGCACACACACACAAGCAGUGUUGGGCACGUUACUUUGAAAAAGUAAUUAGUUAUAGUUACUAGUUACUUCUCCCAAAAAGUAACUGAGUUACUAACUGAGUUACUCCACUAUAAAAGUAACUAGUUACCACUAAAAGUAACUAUUGCGUUACUUUUGCGUACCCGGAUGAUCCUAGGAG